rnacentral:rRNA from 1 species
AUUGAACGCUGGCGGCAUGCCUUACACAUGCAAGUCGAACGGCAGCGCGGGAGCAAUCCUGGCGGCGAGUGGCGAACGGGUGAGUAAUAUAUCGGAACGUGCCCAGUAGUGGGGGAUAGCCCGGCGAAAGCCGGAUUAAUACCGCAUGAGACCUGAGGGUGAAAGCGGGGGAUCGCAAGACCUCGCGCUACUGGAGCGGCCGAUAUCAGAUUAGCUAGUUGGUGGGGUAAAGGCCUACCAAGGCAACGAUCUGUAGUUGGUCUGAGAGGACGACCAGCCACACUGGGACUGAGACACGGCCCAGACUCCUACGGGAGGCAGCAGUGGGGAAUUUUGGACAAUGGGCGCAAGCCUGAUCCAGCAAUGCCGC